rnacentral:rRNA from 1 species
AUGUACAUCCAGUUGAUAGGACUGGGUGGACUUCUCAAGACACCUAGAAUCAAAAUUAGACGUGUACUGUGUCUGGCCAUCGAUAAUUCAUAUGACGCAGAGCAGAAUGCCUUUAUCAUCAAUGGGAUACCAUGUAGGAUCACACUAGAAGAUGUAGCACAUAUAACAGGCAUGCCCUGCCAUGGGAAGAAGCACGUCCCUUCAAAUCUUGAUGAUAAUAUGGAGUUGUGGAAGAAAUUGAAAGACCGUAAUGACACCAAAAUAACUUUCAAAGGAUUGCUAGCCAAGAUGAAAGUCGACAGCACACCAAAUUUUGUCAGGCCAUUUGUCUUGUACACCAUAGGCAAAUAUGUAUGCCGAACAAAAGAGGAGUAUGUGGAUAACAAAUAUAUUGGGAUUGUUAGAAACGUUGAGACAAUAAAGGGCACAAAUCUUGGAUAG